GUGUUUUUGAAAGGACAAAAGGUUAGCACUACCCUUGACAAGGAUAGAAGAGGCCCUCAGGCCUAAAAAUUAAG
rnacentral:snRNA from 1 species